GGUGGGUGUGUGUGUGUGUGUGUGUGUGUGUGUGUGUGUGUGUGUGUGUGUGUGUGUGUGUGUGUGUGUGUGUGUGUGUGUGUGUGUGUGUGUGUGUGUGUGUGCGUUGACAAAGCAUACAACAGGUAGCUUGUUAAUGCCAACUGAUGUGGGUUCAGUUGUCUUAACAAAACGUUUGUUUGUUUUCAAGAUGGCAUCUUCAUCCCUGAAAAUGUUUUAAUCCUGGAGGAGACUGUGCAGGUGGCAGGAAAGAACGGUUAGUACAGCCUGCCAAACUGGCCCCUGUGUGCCAGAGUGUUCCUGUGCUGCGGCAGAGAAGAGGUCCACCAGGACCAUCGCUAAAGAGCUCAGGGCCCAGCUAGAUUGAGCUCACGACCAUCAGCAUACAACCUGCCCCUAUACGCCACAGAUGGAGCUGACGGAGAGUGAGAUCAGUGAAGACCAGAACUCGCUGUAUAAACCUGAGAGCUCAGAAUCACAAUCAUCACAGUGCGAGCCGAGAUAUACUAUCGAUCACUUUGGGGGAGCGGGAUGGUGUUCUGAAAAUGGAGAAGGAGCAGGCCAUUCAACAGCGAAUUCAAAGAUACACCCAUACAUAAAGGGGAUCAGGGUGGAAUUGUUUUUCGCAGGAUUAUUUUUUAACCCGUUUCUCUCUCUCUCAACCUAUUCAUGCUCAGCUAUGAAAAGCAAACUGACAGUUGCUCCUGAGGUGUUGAACUUUUGCACCCUCUAUAACCACUGUGGUUAUUAUUUUGAUUUAAAAAGGGCUUUUGUAAAAUAUAUUUGAUUGAUUGUUUGCUCUGCUGGAUGCUGUGUAUUCACUAACUGUCUGAGUGAUGGGACAUUUUUAUAGUAUCUGUAACAUAUUUUGGUGUGUAUUUAAUCUGCAUCUUAACUUCUUAAAGUGACAAUCAGCAGUAGAAACAAUAACAAAGUGCCUCCCUGCUCCUCUUUUGGUAAAACGCUGAGGGAUUGGGCUGGAGAAAUGUAACCACUCUCAAAUUCAUAGACAGAGCUAUAGAUGCGAGGACUGAUCAUCUAUGAUAUCAACAUUGUUAUCCUGUUUCUAUGAUCUGUUUCCACUACCAUCUACCCAGUUUGCUUUGGAUAAAGGCAUCUGCUAAAUGGCAUAUAUUAUUAAUGUCUACUUUGACUCUGACUAGCUGCCCAUUGUAGUUACUAUUCCUUUACAAUAGAUGGCAGCCAAAGCUAGUUGAAGUCACUACUCUAGCGACAGGGGUACGGGAUUAGUGCACACUGAAAGUAGAUUUAUCUUCAAAGCAAGUUUAUCUGGUUACGCUUGAACCUGUUGUUAUAGUGAACAAGAUAACUAAUGCUAUUUUUACAUAAGGCGCAAGCAUUAGGUCUAUGUCUUACGCUAGGCUAGAUUUACCAAAUGAACUGCUUUUAAUCAAACUUUUACUCAAUGCCUUUGCUUCUGGCUAUCCGCACUUUAUGGAGGAAAUGACACACGCAGGGACCUCGUCCAAUUCUCUCUUGUGCCCAUAGGUUGAACUGGCGAUAAACUGCCAGCCUGUAUGCUCUGCAAUCAAAAAAAAGCAACGUUAGUCUGAUACCGAAACUAUAUCACAAUGUAUUUAUAAAGAGCACGCCCCAUUAUUGGUUAAAAUGAGAUUUCAUGAAUCAUGAUGCUGCCUGCGAUUGGAACUCUAGUCGUCUAAUCAAAAGGUAAAUGUGUUACCAACGCGCCAAAAAGCGCUGAUGAUAUACAUCGUUAUAGGAUACUGGUUAUAUAUAUUGAGCACCGACACGUCCAAUAAAUACAUCGCAACCCAGACAGACUGACAGGACCCUCUGACCUGGAUGUAAUACAUCACCAUCCAGACAGACUGACAGGACCCUCUGACCUGGAUGUAAUACAUCACCAUCCAGACAGACUGACAGGACCCUCUUAACCUGGAUGUAAUACAUCACCAUCCAGACAGACUGACAGGACCCUCUGACCUGGAUGUAAUACAUCACCAUCCAGACAGACUGACAGGACCCUCUGACCUGGAUGUAAUACAUCACCAUCCAGACAGACUGACAGGACCCUCUGACUGGAUGUAAUACAUCACCAUCCAGACAGACUGACAGGAACCUCUGACUGGAUGUAAUACAGCCACCAUCCGCUGGGAUUUUGUGUUGUAUCGCCACCAUCUCUCUACAACACACACACUCCUACUCUAGCCAUUACCUGGCAGCAUCCCCACUCACACCAGUUUGUGUUCGCCUACGCCGACCCUCUAGCUCAGGUGUUUCAGGCGGCAUUUCUGUGUUGUUACUGCUACGAGAAUGAACUCAUUGAUCUGGGGCAACGAUCGGCUCAAACAUGAACGGCUUCAGUAGGUUUAUUGGCUCCCUAACUGACAUUAUUUCAUUCUGAGACUCGGAGCGACUCGGUAAAUUCAGCCAUUUUUGUGAGUUCCAAAAUGUUUUCUCCUGCCAGUGACGCAACAAUGCCAAUAUGACGAUUUACAGUUAGCCGUCAUUCUAAAUCAUAGUGUUUCCAUUCCCCUUUAAAGCCCAUGAUUUUGGAAUGAGAUGUUCAAUGAGCGGGUGUCCACAUACUUUUGGUCAUGUAGUGUAUAUGCAGUGCCUCUGCGGACCCCACUUUGAGAACCCCUGUUAAAGAGAACAGUGAUUUUCACCGCUUAAGGCAUCACAGCUGAUUACACAAAUGAUUGUUUGUUACACAGCAUAGUGAAAUACAGCAUUACCGGCAAGAACCAAUGUUCUCUUCAUAAAAAUAGCUACCUGAUUGUGUUGCAUCUGUUCUGUUCCCACAGUUGUGAUAAUGUGAUGAUUAUUUCUGUUAAGUAUGUUAAACAACACACUGUUCCAGUCUCA